rnacentral:rRNA from 1 species
ACGGAAGGCAGCAGUGGGGAAUAUUGGGCAAUGGGCGAAAGCCUGACCCAGCAACGCCGCGUGAAGGAAGAAGGUCCUCGGAUUGUAAACUUCUUUUAUCAGGGACGAAGAAAGUGACGGUACCUGAUGAAUAAGCCACGGCUAACUACGUGCCAGCAGCCGCGGUAAUACGUAGGUGGCGAGCGUUAUCCGGAUUUACUGGGUGUAAAGGGCGCGUAGGCGGGGAUGCAAGUCAGAUGUGAAAUCCAUGGGCUUAACUCAUGAACUGCAUUUGAAACUGUAUCUCUUGAGUGUCGGAGAGGUAGAUGGAAUUCCUUGUGUAGCGGUGAAAUGCGUAGAUAUAAGGAAGAACACCAGUGGCGAAGGCGAUCUACUGGACAGUAACUGACGCUGAGGCGCGAAAGCGUGGGGAGCAAACAGGAUUAGAUACCCUGGUA